GACAGAGGUGCCAAGCGUUAGGCGGAAUCACUGGGCUUAAAGCGUGUGUAGGCGGAUCGGUAAGUACCUUGUGAAAUCCCACAGCUUAACUGUGGAACUGCUUGGUAUACUGCCAGUCUUGAGCCACUUAGGGGCUACCGGAACAAAUGGUGGAGCGGUGAAAUGCGUAGAUAUCAUUUGGAACGCCAACGGUGAAAACAGGUAGCUGGGAGUGUGCUGACGCUGAGACACGAAAGCCAGGGGAGCAAACGGG
rnacentral:rRNA from 1 species